rnacentral:rRNA from 1 species
AUUGAACGCUGGCGGCAUGCCUUACACAUGCAAGUCGAACGGUAACAGGUUAAGCUGACGAGUGGCGAACGGGUGAGUAAUACAUCGGAACGUGCCCAGUAGUGGGGGAUAGCCCGGCGAAAGCCGGAUUAAUACCGCAUACGACCUAAGGGUGAAAGGGGGGGAUCGCAAGACCUCUCGCUAUUGGAGCGGCCGAUGUCAGAUUAGCUAGUUGGUGGGGUAAAAGAUCACCAAGGCGACGAUCUGUAGCUGGUCUGAGAGGACGACCAGCCACACUGGGACUGAGACACGGCCCAGACUCCUACGGGAGGCAGCAGUGGGGAAUUUUGGACAAUGGGCGCAAGCCUGAUCCAGCCAUGCCGCGUGCGGGAAGAAGGCCUUCGGGUUGUAAACCGCUUUUGUCAGGGAAGAAAUCCUUUGGGUUAAUACCUCGGGGGGAUGACGGUACCUGAAGAAUAAGCACCGGCUAACUACGUG